GCUCGCGUAGCUCAGUCGGCAGAGCGCGUCCUUGGUAAGGACGAGGUCACCGGUUCGAUUCCGGUCGCGAGCU
rfam:Gemmatimonadetes bacterium 13_1_40CM_4_69_8 13_1_40cm_4_scaffold_8881, whole genome shotgun sequence.